rnacentral:lncRNA from 1 species
CCCAUCACAGGCCCAGAGUACAAGAGCCACAGUGAGUACUAUGAGGCCACCACAGAAAGACCACAUUAGGGCAAUGCCCACCUACUCCAGCAGCUCCAUACCAGCAGAGCUACCAGUGUAUGAUUCCAGCCCAAGAGAGCUAUGGUUGCAAGAACCAGAGACACUGUAGGGGGACAGGGCUGCCUGGAGCCAUCAGGGGCCCAAACCCUGCUAGGCAAAGCCGUGGGGGCAACACAGCCAUCUCAAUGGGUCCAGAAGGUUCACAGCUGGAGAGCAAUUUGCCUCAGGAUGAACAGUAUCUUGAAUCUCAUUCCUACUGGAUUUAGAUGAUAUUUAGAUGAGAGUUUGGACUUAAGACUUUAAAGUUGAUGUUGGAAUGAAUUAAGACGUUUAUGGCUAUUGAGAUAGAAUGAGUGUAUUUUGCAUAUGAAAAGGACAUGAAUUUAAUGGGCGUCAGAGGAAGAAUGCUAUGGACAAUGUUUGUGUCUCCCCAAAAUUACUAUGUUGAAACCUAAUCCCCAAUGUGAGGGUAUUUGGAGGUGAAGCCUUUGGACAGUAAUUAGGUCAUGAAAGUGGAGACCUCAUGAAUGGAAUUGGUGACCUCAUAAAAGAAGGCCCGUAGAUAUUCCUGGCUGCUUCUGCCAUGUGAAAACACAGCAAAAAGACAGCUGUCUAUGAAACAGGAAGUAGGUCCUCACCAGACACAGAAUCUGCCAGUACCCUGACCUUGGAUUUUCGAGCCUCCAGAACUGUCAAUGUCACUGUUCCGAAGCUAGACUUGCAGUUCACUGGGAAGCAUGACACCACAGCACCUCCAGCUGUGGACGCAUCAUGGACAAGCCAGGCUGAGAGGAGAACUUCUCAUUACUUGCAGCACAGCAACAUUGGGUUCAAUGUAUGCCCAUGAAAAACCUCAUUUAAGAGAAUGCCUUGGAAAGGUGCCAAGGUCCCCAAACUAAUUAACUUUCAUCUCUCCUGGCCCUCUGCACCCUCUCUCCAUGAGGAACAUUAAACAUAGAACAUCAGCUUGAGAACACUCUAUUUAAAGCAAAAGUCCUUCUAAAGAUAGCCUUGAACGUCCAUCUAAAUCAUCCUAAGUCCAUUUUCUGGCCCAGAAUCCACAAGGCCAGCGCCCCCGAUGGGCCCUACUAUGGUGGCUUAUAUCCAUAAAGAAUGUCUUUCACGGUUCAUUGGUUGGAUUAAUCUGAUAUAAAGUGUCUAAACUGAAAACCUCUGGGUUCGGAUCUUGAUGAGUUUUGGCAGAACAGCAAGUAAGUGACAGUAGAUUUAUUAAAUAACAAAGGAAAAGGAAAGUGAUUAAAGAAAAAUUAAAAUGAAGUAAAAGUGGGAAAGUUCAAUCUCAUAACUUUUAUAAAAGAAGAUUAUAUCGGCCAGGCGUGGCGGCUCACGCCUGUAAUCCCAGCACUGUGGGAGGCUGAGAUGGGCAGAUCACAAGGUCAGGAGAUUGAGACCAUCCUGGCUAACAUGGUGAAACCUUGCUUCUGCUAAGAAUACAAAAAUUAGCCAGGCAUGGUGGCACAUGCCUGUAGUUCCAGCUACUCAGGAGGCUGAGGCAGGAGAAUCGCUUGAACCCGGGAGGUGGAAGUUGCAGUGAGCAGAGAUCAUGCCACUGCACUCCAGCCUGGGCAACAGAGUGAGACUCCAUCUCAAAAAAAUAAAAAAAAGAUGACGACAUCUUUGUGAGGAGGCCACACAGGCUCUGGUCUACCUGAAUACUAAAAAAUAUCUCCCCCCCGGGUGUGGUAGCUCACGCCUGUAAUCCCAGUACUUUGGGAGGCCAAGAUGGGCGGAUCACGAGGUCAAGAGAUCGAGACCAUCCUGGCUAACAGGGUGAAACCCCGUCUCUACUAAAAAUACAAAAAAU